AGAGUUUGAUCCUGGCUCAGGAUGAACGCUAGCUACAGGCUUAACACAUGCAAGUCGAGGGGCAGCAUUUUAGUUUGCUUGCAAACUAAAGAUGGCGACCGGCGCACGGGUGAGUAACACGUAUCCAACCUGCCGAUAACUCGGGGAUAGCCUUUCGAAAGAAAGAUUAAUACCCGAUGGUAUAAUCAGACCGCAUGGUCUUGUUAUUAAAGAAUUUCGGUUAUCGAUGGGGAUGCGUUCCAUUAGGCAGUUGGUGAGGUAACGGCUCACCAAACCUUCGAUGGAUAGGGGUUCUGAGAGGAAGGUCCCCCACAUUGGAACUGAGACACGGUCCAAACUCCUACGGGAGGCAGCAGUGAGGAAUAUUGGUCAAUGGGCGCAGGCCUGAACCAGCCAAGUAGCGUGAAGGAUGACUGCCCUAUGGGUUGUAAACUUCUUUUAUAUGGGAAUAAAGUUUUCCACGUGUGGAAUUUUGUAUGUACCAUAUGAAUAAGGAUCGGCUAACUCCGUGCCAGCAGCCGCGGUAAUACGGAGGAUCCGAGCGUUAUCCGGAUUUAUUGGGUUUAAAGGGAGCGUAGAUGGAUGUUUAAGUCAGUUGUGAAAGUUUGCGGCUCAACCGUAAAAUUGCAGUUGAUACUGGAUAUCUUGAGUGCAGUUGAGGCAGGCGGAAUUCGUGGUGUAGCGGUGAAAUGCUUAGAUAUCACGAAGAACUCCGAUUGCGAAGGCAGCUUACUGGAUUGUAACUGACGCUGAUGCUCGAAAGUGUGGGUAUCAAACAGGAUUAGAUACCCUGGUAGUCCACACAGUAAACGAUGAAUACUCGCUGUUUGCGAUAUACAGUAAGCGGCCAAGCGAAAGCGUUAAGUAUUCCACCUGGGGAGUACGCCGGCAACGGUGAAACUCAAAGGAAUUGACGGGGGCCCGCACAAGCGGAGGAACAUGUGGUUUAA
rnacentral:rRNA from 1 species